GUGCUUGCUUCGGCAGCACAUGUACUAAAAUUGGGACGAUACAGAGAAGAAUAGCUGGUCCCCUGCACAAGCAUGACACACAAAUUCGUGAAGCAUUCCGUAGUAUA